CUUGUAUAUAGCAGGGGAUGGUGAUAUCAAAAUAAUCUAAAAAUUUUAAAUAAAAAAAUAAUUUAAAUUUUAAACAAGCAAGCGUUUUGGCCACACCAACCGCAUCCUAAGAAUGGAUUGCCAUCUCACAUUAAUCUUUCAACAUCCAUGGCCUCUUUUUAACAUGCUAAGAUACAUAUCCCACCAAUAAUUCAUAAAUAUCCCACCCCCGAUCUGGCACUACUUGCAGGAAAAUUCCAACACCCACUUGCAAUAAAAGGUAGGAAAUCCCCGGUACAGAGAUACGCGUCCCGUGCGGUAUCCAUCAGUUUUCAGGUGGCCGGAAUUCGGAUUCUCUAUGCCAUCGUCGUCUAUUUUUCGGUGGCCGGAAUUUGAUUUCUCAUAUUUCACAACAAGGUUGAGUCUAGAGAGCUUCAGGUGGUUGGAUUUUUCUAUUGAUGAUGUGUGGUGGACCUUUGUUACGGUGCUGGAGUCCGUGGCUUUAGCUGCUAUGCUUUGCUACUUCUUUGUAUUCUGUGGCUGUACUCUUUGAUGAAGAUCAACUGACCAUCUCUGAAUUCUUUUCUUGUACAUAUACAUGCCUGUUUGAUUAUCUUUCCGCACAACAACUGAUCGCCAUAUGUUACUGUUGCUACUCCUACGUCCCAGAAUUGGAUCCAUAUUGGUAAGGGAAUUGAUGAUAACUGGUGGUAAGUCCUAAUUUGUGCGAGUUUAGGCACGAGUAUUAAAUCUUGCCUCACCUUAUUAUUACAAGAACGACGACAAUCUGGGUGCUCCAUGCGAGUGGAUGAAGUUUGGUCUCAUCUUAAUUCUUGGCACGAUGGCUCAAAAUCAGGUGAAUUUUGGCGCCUGUGACGAGGGAAAAUUACUGUCCAAACCAAUUCAUGUGGGCUAAAAUUACUUGAUUGGUUGCUGCGAUAUAUCUCAGUAACCAGUAUCGCUGUAAUGACAGCUAAAUUAGGUUCUUGUUCCGUAAUUGAUUUGGCUCGUAUGGACAGGUUCAUGGAAUGUUUUUUUGGACGAUGAAAGGCUCUAGUGCCCUAUAAUAUAACUUUCUGUAUUAGAACA